UCAUACUGUUUUAUUUAAAUCAUUUUCUAACUCCGUGACUCUGUAGAGAUUGAGGCUACGUCCACACGUACCCGGGUAUUUUUGAAAACGCAGAUAUUUCUAUGCGUUUGCACCUUUCCUCCUCUGUGAGAUGUUCUCAAUCAUUGCCAGGUCUUUAUCACUUGAGUUCUGUCUUGCUGGGGUCGCAGACUUCUGCAAAAAGUCUCAUCGAGCUCUGGGUUGGUUUAGGUGGAUUUGGAGGUAUACUGCAACUGAUGCUGUAGAUGCAGUGGCAGCAACAGUUGCAGUAGACACACUGGCACCUUCAUUAAUAUCACACUCAACUGACUGUUUUAUAUUCCUAUUGCACUGAUGGGUGGACAGUUCUCAGGUGCCUGUGCAGGUUGUUUGUGGAGCCGGCUCUGUAUGAUAUCUUUUUCUUACAGACUUUACACUCUGUCUUUGUUUUCAGUAAAAUUGAAAUUGCUCCAGAUUUUGCUUCUUUUCUUGGUGUCACUCAUUUUUAUUACCAUGCCUUUCUAAUGUGUUGAUGUUGUGUCUUGUUGCCCCUGGCUCUCUUUCUCUCUUUCACACUCUGUUCCUAUGCUACUGCGAGUGUAACCACCACCCCUCCCCCCUCUGCUCAGCGCAAACACAAGGCUCAAGUGCGGUGUGAAGUGAAAAUAGUGAGACAGAGCGGGUGAGAGAAAGGGGAAAAGAAACACAGCUCGUUAUUCGUUACUUCGUGUGGUGGCUAUUGCGGAGCUUCCACAGAUUCAGUAACAUUAGCAAGUGGUGGAGGCCAGCAGGUGGAUGAGGGAAAUGGUGAGGCGGCCUGAGGCGGCCGCUGUCCAAGUGUCAGGUGAACUGAAUUCCAGGUGGCACAGUGCACUUGAGGCAAGUAAGCAAGCUAGAAGACUGGCACUCUUGCUGGAUAUCCAGUUACGGAAGCAACACAUUAACAAGAGAAUUCUGAGUAAAACCAAAGUUACCUUCCUGAGUAACUAGUUACUCUGAAAGUAAUGACUAACUUGAAGUAACUGAGUUACUUUUGAUAGAAGUAACUAGUAAUGUAACUAAGUUACUAAUUUAAAGUAACUUACCCAACACUGCUCACUUCAAAGAUACGGCUCUAAGAGCAUUUUCGUUCACAACUGACACAUCACUACAUGGGGCACACUCACCCUUGACCCACCUGCUUUCCAAGGUAGGUGAUGGUUGCAUGGUGCAUGUGGCACACAACCGACUGUAAGCAACAACAUGUUUUUUUUUUAAAACCAGGCCAAAAGAAGUUGCUCAGCACUCAGUAAUACUUUUUAUUUAUUCCGAGAUGCCAUGCCCAUAUCAUGUGCUAAGCUUAGCACCUGAUUACAAUGAUGGGAUUGUACCACCACCUGCAUGACGUUCAAUGUUCCACUAAUCUGAGGACCACCACCUCGUGAGCAGGCCAUCCUGCAGUAAAAAACGGGGAAUGGUUGCGCUUUGCCCAGAAGCGAAAGUGGCGGCAAAACAGGAACUCAAAGACUUGCCAUUUCUCUGAGUGCUUACCAAAGCUUCUUUACUCACAUCUCCAAUUCCAGCAUUAAUUUUACCACACUUCGUUCCAUUUUCAUACUGUCUCUCUCUUACAAAAGGCUUUUGCCCUGUAGCCACAAACGUAUCCGCGAUACUAAAAUCAGCAAAUUUGCACUCUUGCGCCCAUGUGACAGUUUGACAGCUUAGAGCUCCACAUUAUUGGUGGGAUAAGUUUAUCAGGAUGGCUUCAAAAUCUGCAACCACAAGUGUUUAGAUUUCCAUCGGAUCUCAAGAGGAACAAACGAAUAACUCAGACUUACAAAUGGACUGCAAGUCAGAAAACUAGGGAAUGUGACGACCUCCCUGACUAAGGCCCAUAAACGUCGUGUUCACAUCAUACACACACUUAUAUUUCUACUCUCCCUGGAUGUUUUCCACUCUGUGCUGCUAUUGUAAGUCUUCUUGGUCCUUGUGGGGUGAUCGUGGCUCAAGAGUUGGGAGUUCACCUUGUAAUCAGAGGGUUGCCGGUUCGAGCCUCGGCUUGGACAGUCUUGGUCGUUGUGUCCUUGGGCACUUCACCCGUUGCCUACUGGUGGUGGUCAGAGGGCCCGGUGGCACCAGUGUCUGGCAACUUCGCCUCUGUCAGUGCGCCCCAGGGUGGCUGUGGCUACAAUGUAGCUUGCCAGUAAAGUAAUAGUAGUAGUAGUAAAGCACUAUACAAAUACAGACUAUUUACCAGACCAUUUGUACUCAAUGCAUUUGGUUCAGACGUUAAUAAUAUUAACUCAUACAUCCAGGUAAAGCUAUUGAUAGUGAUGUGACGUUCUGUAUCGAGGCUUCGGAGCGUGUGUCGAGUAAUGGAGGGGGCGUUUCCGCGAUGCGCGUAUCGAGGCUUGCUUCAUUUAUGGGAGGAGCUGAAAAUGAUGACGUCCGAAGCCUCGCUGCCCGGCUGUACCACGUGACUGGUUCAUGAAGUGGUUCGAACUUUGCCGCGAGCUAUGACAGCGAUAUAAACCCCUCAGAUUUCAUUCAAAAUGUGGGUGUUUGAUGGAGAGUUGCGGUUAGUGAGAGUUUGGAGACCGUUUGGAGGUUUAUGAGAGUGAGGAGAGAAAGUCAGGAGAGAAUGGAGCCAGCUAAGAAGAGGAGGAUGUCCUCUCCUGUGUGGGAACAUUUUGAUCUUAUUCCUCCCAACAAGGUGAAGUGUUUGCUAUGUGCCAGGGAGCUGGGAUAUAACAACAACACCUCAUCCAUGCUUACGCACUACAGAGCUUUGCAUGAGAAUAAGGGGAACACCGAUUGUGGAGCAAGACCAGGAGAACAAUCUCAAAUAGAUGAAGACCUGGUCAGCAUGGUGAUUGAGGACUCCCAGCCAUUUAGCAUUGUGGAGGACAAAGGAUUCAAAAGAUUUGUUAAAUCAUUAAAUCCUAGCUAUGUUCUCCCCACUAAAAAGGUCAUAAAAGCAGUGAAAAUUUAGUUUUUACAGAAUAAAAUGUGAACAGGCAGGACUGAGGCUCAAAGCCUCAGUGUGUAGCUGUCCAUACCUCAACGUUACAAAAGCACAACCACUGUCCACACCUCACCUCACAGUAAAUGAUCAUUUCCAUUUUAAGCAUUUCCAAAUAAUCAUUUUCCAUACUGCCAGUAUAAAUAUACACACUAUACUGCCAUCAAUACAAUAUAGAUGUUUUACACACUCCUUUUGUUGUUGAUAUUUACAGGCUGUGUGCAAAAUGCCACACUCUUCAAAUUCAUGCCAACUAAUAUUUUUACGUCCAGUAGGUGUCCUCCUAGAGCAAAUGAAGCUUCAAGAAGCUUUGCGCUGGGGUGAACCAAUUGGAUGAAAAGCUUCAGUGCUUCAUGAAGCUUCAUCUGCCCAUCACUAGCUAUUGAUCCAAGAUUGUUAGGUGUGGCUGUGUGCAGGCAGGAAUAGGACCCAAGGUGCAGACUCCGGAGACAGAACUUAAACCAAAACAGCUUUAAUGCUGAACGCAAACAUAACAUAACUGGAAAAACUCAAAAAAAACAAACUAACACCAGCAGAUUGACAAAACACACAGCAACGUAAACGGUAGAUCGCGACACAGACACCAAGAAACACAGGGCUUAAAUACACAGAGGGAGCAAUCAGGGAAUGGGUAACAGGAGGGAAACACAGCUGGGGCAAAUCAGGCCUAACGAGACAAGGGGAAGCAAAACCAGACACAUUAACAUCAGACAUGGACUUUCAAAGUAAAACAGGAAACAUAACACAGACUCACGGGCAGGCACUAUAACAAAGGGAACAGAGACGUGGGAACAGGGCAGACACAAACAUUGACUGAACACGGGGAUAUAGGAACUUAGGAUACACAUAGACGCGAACUAGACAAGGGGAUGCAGGUGAUAGGGGAGACAGAGCAACUAAAGAAGACAGAGACCUAAGCCAUAAGACAGAACUCAAAGAAACCAAAAACUAGAAAGUAUAAAUAAUAUCAUAAACUCAAAAACGCUGGGUCGACGACCCAGGCAUCCCAACAAAGAUUGAGUAAGGAAUAACACACACUAGAUCUGUCUUAUUUAGAAUAUGAAAAUAUGAAACGUAUUUCAAGUUUUUGACAAAUAUACGCAUCCAUUGAUCAGUGAAGUGUCCAUAUUUGCUAUUACUAACACACAGUUAUCCUAUAGAGUUUGAGUCAGUCCAAACUUAAAGUAAUUAUUUUUGUGGUCAAUUGCAAGAAAACUGUAACUUUUGUUAGAGCUACUUCCAUUAGCUUUAAUAGCUUUAAUAAAUGGGAUUUCCAUCCCGAAAUGCAUGCCAAAUAAUUUACAUUUCAAUUCAAAAAGAUGAAAUUAGGUUUCUUUAGUUCAGCACAUCUAUCUCUCUGUUUGCUCCUCACUGUGUACAAACACUUUUCUCCUUUUUCAGAUGGGAAAAUCAUCAAAGCUGAGCCUGGACAGAACGUCACUCUGCCAUGUCGAACUCCACAUAUCAGCGUUCCCAUCAGAGCUGUGGUGGAGUGGUUCAGACUUGACCUGCAGGAAGGACAUGUCCUUAUGUACCGGGAUGAGCAGUUUAUUUCAAUGAACCAGCUUCCAUCGUUUGUGAACCGGGUGGAUCUGCAGGACAGACAGAUGAAGGACGGAGACGUGUCUUUGAUUCUGAAGGACGUGACAAGUGACGACACUGGAACAUUUCAGUGUUACGUGGUCCAGAGAGGAACAAAUGGCAGGAAAAGCACUGUUGAUCAUAUCAGCACCGUCUACCUGAGAGUUGUAGGGAGCAGCGAUGGACAUCCAACAAUGAAAUGUAGACGUUUAACACAAAUACAAUUGAAUUUUUUAGCGUUUUUCUCUUCUUUACUUAGAAGUAUUGUUAAGGAGAUUUAAAAACAAAGUUAAUUUUCAUUGUCUUCUUCAUUAUUACGUUGCUGUUAAAAGGUAAUAAUGCCAAUGAAGUCCGUAUAGUGCAGCCAGUCCCUUAAACACUGCUGCAAUCCACUUUCACCAAAAUAAGUUUUCUCCUAAGUUUUUUUUUUUCUUUUAUCACUUUUGAUCUUUGAUUAUUUGCUUGCUGAGGUUAAUUCGUGAUUAACAGCUUUGAUUCUGCUGUUUGGAAACGUGUGCUCCAGUUUAGUUUAUUUCCAGCAGUAAUAAAUUUGUUAAAUGUUGGGUCUGUGUUUCCACAUGCCCCGCUAGUUUAGAGACUUAUUCCUCAUGACAAACACAAGACAUAGCAGAACAUCUUCAACCGGUUAUUAACUCGCUAACGAAGGAGAGCUUUGGUCUGAACCAGGCGGUGGAGCAUAAUGCUCAUCACUCUCUAGCCCAAAUCCUUCAAAGAGCAGCUGUCCUCGUAGCCUUUUUAUUGACAUGACAUUUACAGUACACAUGACAACACAACACAAGCACCUCCCAUCGUAAACCCCCCCCCCCCCCCCCCCCUUGGUCCUAAGACAAGGCAUUAUAUGUGUGUGUGUGACAAAUAACUUUGUUGUUUGCAAAACUUGUGCAUAGGAUUUUAAAAUUGACAAUUUAUACUUGUAUUUAAAGUUAUGAAAUAUGAUUCAUUAAACAUGUUUGUGGUUGUUACAGUAAAAAAUAUAACUUUUUUCUACUCUGAUUUUAUGUUUUUUUCUGAUUUUAGAUCUAUUGUGUUAAUACAAUAAAUGUACAAAUGAAAACAAGGCAAAGUAAAUAGUUUUUAAAGGUAAAAUGUGGAGGGACAAUCAAAAGUAGUUAAAAAUGGCCAAUUAUACCCUGGACCCCAGAGGGUUAAACAUUUUUUUCAAAGUAACUCAAUAGUUACUUUUCAAGUAAU
ensembl:lncRNA